rnacentral:rRNA from 1 species
CAGUAGCCACGGGAAUACGGAGGGUGCAAGCGUUAAUCGGAAUUACUGGGCGUAAAGCGCACGCAGGCGGUCUGUCAAGUCGGAUGUGAAAUCCCCGGGCUUAACCUGGGAACUGCAUUUGAAACUGUCAGGCUGGAGUCUUGUAGGGGGGGGUAGAAUUCCAGGUGUAGCGGUGAAAUGCGUAGAGAUCUGGAGGAAUACCGGUGGCGAAGGCGGCCCCCUGGACAAAGACUGACGCUCAGGUGCGAAAGCGUGGGGAGCAAACAGGAUUAGAUACCCGGGUAGUCCCUGUCUCUUAUAC